AUUUGAUGUCACAAAGUGAUUACCCUAUGCAAAGAAAAAGUAUCAAGUUUCACUCACAAGUUUCACUCAUACAUAUAUACUUGAGUUGAAAAGCAAAUUAUACCAAUGAUUGAAUUAUCAUCUCUUUUGUGUUUUCCCUAAAAAAGGACCAAAAUAAAAUCAAAUGAAAAACAAUUUAUGGACACAUAGUUUGAGUUUGCAUUGAUCAUAAUUUUUGUUGACUAACAAAUUCACUGGAAUAGAUGAGAAUUACGAAGGGUUGAGGGAGGAAUACCGAGGCUGCCAAUAAAGCUGUGUA
rnacentral:misc_RNA from 1 species